rnacentral:rRNA from 1 species
UACGGAGGGUGCGAGCGUUGUCCGGAAUCACUGGGCGUAAAGGGCGCGUAGGUGGCGGGUCAAGCGUGCGGUGAAAGCUCGGGGCUCAACCCCGAGUCGGCCGUGCGAACUGGCUUGCUUGAGCACGGUAGAGGCAGGUGGAAUUCCGGGUGUAGCGGUGGAAUGCGUAGAGAUCCGGAAGAACACCGGUGGCGAAGGCGGCCUGCUGGGCCGUAGCUGACACUGAGGCGCGACAGCGUGGGGAGCAAACAGG